GAUGAACGCUGGCGGCGUGCCUAAUACAUGCAAGUCGAGCGAACAGACGAGGAGCUUGCUCCUCUGACGUUAGCGGCGGACGGGUGAGUAACACGUGGAUAACCUACCUAUAAGACUGGGAUAACUUCGGGAAACCGGAGCUAAUACCGGAUAAUAUAUUGAACCGCAUGGUUCAAUAGUGAAAGACGGUUUUGCUGUCACUUAUAGAUGGAUCCGCGCCGCAUUAGCUAGUUGGCAAGGUAACGGCUUACCAAGGCAACGAUGCGUAGCUGACCUGAGAGGGUGAUCGGCCACACUGGAACUGAGACACGGUCCAGACUCCUACGGGAGGCAGCAGUAGGGAAUCUUCCGCAAUGGGCGAAAGCCUGACGGAGCAACGCCGCGUGAGUGAUGAAGGUCUUCGGAUCGUAAAACUCUGUUAUUAGGGAAGAACAAAUGUGUAAGUAACUAUGCACGUCUUGACGGUACCUAAUCAGAAAGCCACGGCUAACUACGUG
rnacentral:rRNA from 1 species